AUGAAUUAUAAUUUUUAUUGCCAAACAUAAAUUUAAACGAAACAAACCUUUUUUCUUAAUUCCCCAUAAACAUACAUAUUUAACAUUGUAAUGGGUUUUUCUCGCUGAUUAGAGGAAAGGAUGAAGCAAUUGAGAUGAUACCGGGGAAGAACAACUCUUCCUUUAUUCAGGUUGAUAUUGAUUAUCUGGACUCACAAGGCAAGAAACUUAGAAAUCCUCUUUUUUUAUUCGCCAGUUGGUGAAUAUGGAAAGCCACAAAUAUCAUCGACAAAACAAUUUAUUCAUCGGCGGCCUACCUAUCUAUAGAUGUGAACAAGACGAGCCUCGCGGAGCCUCGGCAACUCGCGCUGACUUUGGCACAAGCUUAAUUUAGUGGAGUCUUCUGUUAGAAUUUCUGUUUGAACUGUCCUCGUUUCGGUCCGUGUUUCUUUCCAUUUCGUCUUUACUCUUGAGUUUGUUAGUCUUUGAGUCUCGUUUUGGUGUCUGUUUGGGAGUUACUGUUAGUAUCGGUUGGUUUCUUUGUUUUAAUUAGUUUUGUCAGGAGAGUUCGGAGAUUAGUUGACCCAUCACUCAGAUGACGAUUACCUUUCCUUGUAGCCCGAUUUAUAGAUUCUACACCUCCCAUUUAGCUUUGUUAAUGUACUUAAACUUGUAAUCGAUUUUGUGUUAACAUUAAUAAGAUUGAUCGAUCUAUCGCCUUU
rnacentral:lncRNA from 1 species